rnacentral:rRNA from 1 species
UACAGAGGUCUCAAGCGUUUGUUCGGAUUCAUUGGGCGUAAAGGGUGCGUAGGUGGCGGGGUAAGUCAGGUGUGAAAUUUCGGAGCUUAACUCCGAAACUGCAUUUGAUACUGCCUUGCUUGAGGACUGGAGAGGAGACUGGAAUUCACGGUGUAGCAGUGAAAUGCGUAGAGAUCGUGAGGAAGACCAGUGGCGAAGGCGGGUCUCUGGACAGUUCCUGACACUGAGGCACGAAGGCCAGGGGAGCAAACGGG